CGGGUGAGUAACGCGUGAGGAACCUGCCUCAAAGAGGGGACGAACAGUUGGAAACGACUGCUAAUACCGCAUAAGCCCACGGCUCGGCAUCGAGCAGAGGGAAAAGGAGCAAUCCGCUUUGAGAUGGCCUCGCGUCCGAUUAGCUAGUUGGUGAGGUAACGGCCCACCAAGGCGACGAUCGGUAGCCGGACUGAGAGGUUGAACGGCCACAUUGGGACUGAGACACGGCCCAG
rnacentral:rRNA from 1 species